GGAGUUAGCCGGUGCUUCUUCUGUGAGUGAUGUCCUUCCUGCCGGUUAUUGACCCGCAGGCCUUCUUCCUCACUGAAAGUGCUUUACAACCCGAAGGCCUUCUUCACACACGCGGCAUGGCUGGAUCAGGGUUGCCCCCAUUGUCCAAUAUUCCCCACUGCUGCCUCCCGUAGGAGUCUGGGCCGUGUCUCAGUCCCAGUGUGGCUGAUCAUCCUCUCAGACCAGCUACGGAUCGUCGCCUUGGUGAGCCGUUACCUCACCAACCAGCUAAUCCGACAUAGGCUCAUCCGAUAGCGCGAGGCCCGAAGGUCCCCCGNUUUCCCCCGUAGGGCGUAUGCGGUAUUAGCCUGGGUUUCCCCCAGGUUAUCCCCCACUACCGGGCAGAUUCCUAUGCAUUACUCACCCGUCCGCCGCUCGCCACCAGGGAGCAAGCUCCCCGUGCUGCCGCUCGACUUGCAUGUGUUAGCGUCGCCGCCACGCGUCAUCUGAGCCAUGAUACAACUACUGA
rnacentral:rRNA from 1 species